UAGGGAAUCUUCCGCAAUGGGCGAAAGCCUGACGGAGCAACGCCGCGUGAGUGAUGAAGGUCUUCGGAUCGUAAAACUCUGUUAUUAGGGAAGAACAAAUGUGUAAGUAACUAUGCACGUCUUGACGGUACCUAAUCAGAAAGCCACGGCUAACUACGUGCCAGCAGCCGCGGUAAUACGUAGGUGGCAAGCGUUAUCCGGAAUUAUUGGGCGUAAAGCGCGCGUAGGCGGUUUUUUAAGGCUGAUGUGAAAGCCCACGGCUCAACCGUGGAGGGUCAUUGGAAACUGGAAAACUUGAGUGCAGAAGAGGAAAGUGGAAUUCCAUGUGGAGCGGUGAAAUGCGCAGAGAUAUGGAGGAACACCAGUGGCGAAGGCGACUUUCUGGUCUGUAACUGACGCUGAUGUGCGAAAGCGUGGGGAUCAAACAGG
rnacentral:rRNA from 1 species